rnacentral:lncRNA from 1 species
AAUCUGGACUGUGUUAUCUUUUCCAGGUGCAAGUAUGUGCUAUGGGUACCUGCUUUUUUCAGUGGCUUGUGUUCCAGCUGACAGCUCCAGGGCCUGUUUGAAUAAUUCGAAGACAAUCCUUAGUUAGGAAAGCAAGCUUUAAUUAUCACUGGGGAACAGAAGGCCGCAUCUUCGAGGAAUUUGGCAGACCUCAGCAGGGGGCAACCACAGGCCUUUGGCAAAAGAUCACUUUUCAACAACAUUGUCAAUUCCAGUGACCCCCGACCUUCCACCUGCAGGUCCCUGAACAGCUGCUGUUCUGUGGGAAGCAGUGGCAGUCUGUCUUCCUUUAAAAGGCACAUGCACACUCUGUCCCUGCUGCCUGCUGAGAUCCCACCUGGGACCUCAUCCCCAGAGCUGGGGGUCAUCUCCCAUAUCAAGAAAUUAAGAAAAAUAAGGGGGGGCAGGAAAGGACAGCUUUGACAACAGUCCCUGAACUUUCCCUUUUAAUAUAAGCCAGAUUUAACGUAUGU